GACGAACGCUGGCGGCGUGCUUAACACAUGCAAGUCGAACGGUAAGGCCCUGCUCUUGUGGGGUGCUCGAGUGGCGAACGGGUGAGUAACACGUGAGUAACCUGCCCUUGACUUUGGGAUAACUUCAGGAAACUGGGGCUAAUACCGGAUAGGAGCUCCUGCUGCAUGGUGGGGGUUGGAAAGUUUCGGCGGUUGGGUAUGGACUCGCGGCUUAUCAGCUUGUUGGUGGGGUAGUGGCUUACCAAGGCUUUGACGGGUAGCCGGCCUGAGAGGGUGACCGGCCACAUUGGGACUGAGAUACGGCCCAGAGUCCUACGGGAGGCAGCAGUGGGGAAUAUUGCACGAUGGGCGGAAGCCUGAUGCAGCAACGCCGCGUGCGGGAUGACGGCCUUCGGGGUGUAAACCGCUUUCGCCUGUGACGAAGCGUGAGUGACGGUAAUGGGUAAAGAAGCACCGGCUAACUACGUG
rnacentral:rRNA from 1 species